rnacentral:lncRNA from 1 species
UGGACCUGGGCCUGCGGAGGUGGCACAGGCAUGGCUCCCCUAUGUUGCAGGCCUUGGACGGCUGCGGCCAAGACUUGAACCUGCUGCACCAAGACAUCGAACUAUUCUGGCCGGACUUGGGGAACCGGAGCAACCGAAGACGGCGAGUUUUGGAUGGAGCGUCCAGGACUUGGUGGGAAACGCCGGAAGGUGUUGGAGGCUCCUUUACUUCUCAGCUUCAUGGCCACGACUCGGGCCCUUCCUCUAGCGCCAACUAUUGCUGGAAAUUGGAUCCGGGGGCAGCCGUCAGCUGAGAGGGUGGAGCUCCGGCGGGAACUGGCUGGUGG